rnacentral:rRNA from 1 species
UACAGAGACUGCAAGCGUUAUUCGGAUUCACUGGGCGUAAAGGGCGCGCAGGCGGCCGUGUGUGUGAGGCGUGAAAGCCCGAUGCUUAACAUCGGAAUUGCACCUCAAACUACAUGGCUAGAGCAUUGGAGAGGGUAGCGGAAUUCACGGUGUAGCAGUGAAAUGCGUAGAUAUCGUGAGGAAUACCAGAGGCGAAGGCGGCUACCUGGACAAUUGCUGACGCUCAGGCACGAAAGCGUGGGGAGCAAAAGGG